rnacentral:tRNA from 2 species
GCGGAAGUAGCUCAGUGGUAGAGCACCACCUUGCCAAGGUGGGGGUCGCGGGUUCGAAUCCCGUCUUCCGCUCCA